GGCCCGGUGGUGUAGCGGUAACACAUCCUCUUAUAUUCAGACGGAUGUACAGUGCUUAUGAGGGAGUGCCUUGUUUGAAUCAAGGCUGGCCG